CCUGGCCUUCCCUUCAGCAUCUGGUUAGAGUGACUUAGGGAAAAGUCCUUCCUGGGCGGAUGACAAACCCCUCCGCAGCCGCCUUGCCUUGCAUUUGUGCUGUAAAUAGUGCGACGCUGGCUCGGGACGGUGAGAGGGGCAUGGAAAUUGCCUUAUGAAGGAGAGUGGCUAAGCAGCAUUGUUUGUUUGUGAGCGCAGGGGAGCCUUUUCUGGAAAAGUAACCAGUGGCUUCAACUCCCCUCCUAUAGUCUCACCAUAUUUGGUGGGUUCCUCUCCCCCCCUCCCUUAAAGUCUCAGUUCCUGGAAUCAUGUUAUUACCUCAGAAUCUCAGCUUUCAUUUAAGAGAAAAGAGUACUAGAAAGACAGUCCACAUUAAGGAGUGUGUGUUGGCGCUGAAGAAUCUCCUGUCCAGAUUCAAGAAAGAGAUAACUUGGAGAGUCAGACUAAUCUUACUGGGCUGUGUAUGCUGUGUGUGUACAGGAUCGAACAAUAAUAAAUAGUUCCAGCCUUCUGUGGGCUGCUGGCUGCACAGUAAUGAAAGAGGCAAUAUGUUCAAGGGGACCCCCGACACCAGAGAGAGCUCUCCAUGGGCACUGGGAACCAGAGGAUAGUACUGCAGACCAAGCUGGAGCUGCCUCAUGUGUGUAAUGCUCUCCACUGCACAUCUGUUCAGGUAGUUGAAGGCAAGGUCAUCAAUCUAAAGAUUGAUGGGCCUCAUUCUGUAGUCCUUACCCAAAUAAAACUCCCAUUGGGCCAGUUAUGCUUCCAUUAAUGGCAAAGUAAAAGUCCAACUGAAGUUAAUAAGACCAAAUUUUCACCACCGGAAGUUUUGUCUGGGGGAAAAAAAAAAAAAGCAGGAUUGGGCUUUAUUUAUGGCAAACCAAAAAUUAAUUACUAGAGCUGCUGGUGGAAAAGUGUAAAUUGUUUAUAAUGAAAAAUUUUCAUUUCAAAAUUCCUACAGUUUUUUAAAGUUAUUUGAUGAACUCUUCCUCCAAAAAUCCCCCUAAAGUGGAGGGGGAAAACCAUUGUUCAUUGAAAACCCAGACAAUGAAAUGGUCAAGAAGGCCAUUUUCAAGGGAUAGUUACCAACAUAAUUUUCAAUGUUUUUACAAGUAUAAAAAAUGCCUGAACCUCCUCCCCCAAAAAAACAAACAACCCUCCCCCCAAACCAAACAACAACAGCAAAAAACCCAAAACCCAAAAACCUAACCAAAAUUUUUGUGGAACAACCUGGUAAAUCACUUUUGAUAGGGAAGAAACACUGCAUGAAAAGCUGUUUAAUUGGCAGUACUAGAAUUAUUGGUGAAAGUAAGUGAAUUUAACAUUUAAAUUUCAUUUUAAAAAUCCACUAUGACUGUGGUCUUUUCCUUUUUAAUAUUUAGCAGAAUACAGAUGCACGACUCAGUAUAUUUAAGCAUUUAAUAAAAUGCUUCAGUCCUUGAAUGUUAACUAGAACUCACAGGAAAGAAUGCCCUAAAUGUGUAAAUAUAAUUAGUCUAGCUAUUAUAAACCAAAUCCUUCAUAAUCCUAGUACAUACAGGAACUGAAAGAUCUGAUUUGUUUGUCUUUGUGACUCCUGAAGUAAAGCAAAUUUGCAACGGUUACACUAACUUGACUUAUCUGUAAAAUGAGCUCAUAUUACAAGUGUCAGUUUAUAGUUUUAAAAUGUUGCAAUUAAUUUAUAGUUACAGCUAAUUUAAAAACUGAAGUACUAAUUGAUUAUUAUAUGAAAAAACGGUAUUGGCUUUGA